UACAGAGGGGGCAAGCGUUGUUCGGAAUUACUGGGCGUAAAGGGCGCGUAGGCGGCCUAUUAAGUCGAACGUGAAAUCCCCGGGCUCAACCCGGGAACUGCGUCCGAUACUGGCAGGCUUGAAUCCGGGAGAGGGAUGCGGAAUUCCAGGUGUAGCGGUGAAAUGCGUAGAUAUCUGGAGGAACACCGGUGGCGAAGGCGGCAUCCUGGACCGGCAUUGACGCUGAGGCGCGAAAGCCAGGGGAGCAAACGGG
rnacentral:rRNA from 1 species